rnacentral:tRNA from 1 species
GGGGGUGUAGCUCAGAUGGGAGAGCGCUCGCUUAGCAUGCGAGAGGUACUGGGAUCGAUACCGAGCACCUCCA